rnacentral:lncRNA from 1 species
CAGCGGCAGGGUGAAGGGCUCCUCCAGCGCGACCCGAGACGCCGAGGCCGAGGAGGCGCGGAGAGCGAGCGAAGGCUGCUAGCAAGUUGUCAUCUCUCAAUAGUUUUCUGGAAAGUGGGGCCAAAAGAGCUGUUUGGAUAAGCUCUUUGCCGAAGAAUAACGUGAGAAGGAAUUAUGUCUCUGAAUACUUUCUUACCCCAUCAAAUAUGAGCAGAACAUUCCAGAGAAGAUAUCAAGGAAUUAUUUCAGGAGGUAGCAAAGCCUGGCAAGGUGAAGAAAAUGUGACUGAAGAGAUUGAAUUAAUGUGCUGACAUUCACACCCUUUAACCUUAGAGAUGUUAUUGGUUCCUAAGCUUCAGUUUCUUUAUGUGUGCAAGGAAAUAAUAAUAUCUACCUCAGACACGUUUCAUUCUCAAACAAAGCUCUCUAGUAGAGAAAAGGAAAACUAGUUUCUUUGUUCAAGGCAUCAACCACUUGUCAAGCCAUCUCUAGAUGUCCUAUAGGAUGGGCCCAGGGGAGCUAUGUGCUGCCCACAGAGUAGUUAUAUCUGUUUUAAUGAACUAUGUCUAAUAAAUGAACUCAACUAUCCAAAAUUUCAGAACAUAAUGGGUUUUUAGAUAUAUGUUCUCUUCUUCUCGUUUCCUAUAAUUAUUCCAGAAUUUUCUUGGUAACUAGCUAAGUGACCAGAUGAUGUCAUCUACCUCAUAGCAGUAAAUCAACAGAGAAAUAUGUGAGGAUUUUAAUGACAGUUUUUAAAAAGGGUACAAAGUGAGAAUUUCAUUAGCCUUCGCUAAAGGUGAUAGAAGCCAAUUUUACUAGAUUAAAACAUUUUUAAAUUUCUCUCAAGCUAACUGUAUUAGUCUGUUUUCACACUGCUGAUAAAUAUGUACCCGAGACUGUGUAAUUUACAAAAGAAAGAGGUUUAAUUGGACUCACAGUUCCACAUGGCUGGGGAGGCCUCACAAUCAUGGCAGAAGCAAGGAGGAGCAAGGCAAGUCUUACAUGGAUGCCAGCAGGCAAAGAGAGAGCUUUUGCAGGGAGUCCUCCAUUUUUUAGAACCAUCAGAUCUCGUUAGACUGAUUGAUUAUCAUGAGAACAGCACUGAAAAGACCUGCCCCCAUGAUUCAGUUACCUCCCACUGGCUCCCUCCCACAACAAGUGGGAAUUCAAGAUGAGAUUUGGAUGGGAGCACAAACCAUAUCACUAACCUUCAAUCGAUUUAAUAAAUUUUGGCCAACUCUGUUCAAUGUGCCAGGUACUGUUGUACCUUUCCAUUGGGUGGGAAAAUAGGUCUCUGAGGAGAUUACAGUUAAGUGGAGAGUUAAGUGAUGAGAAGAAGCCUGACACAGAGAACUGGGGAUCAAGUAUUCUAAGCAGAAAGGAAAGCAUGCUUUAGGCAGAAGCCAGUCCAUUUGUUUUCAAAUAAGAGAAAGGCCAGUGUAUGCAGAGCUUCAGGGGGAGAUCUGGUGGGAGAUGAAUUUGGGAAGGGAGCAGGGACAAAAUGUAUAUGACCUUCUAGAUCCUGGUAAAGAGUUGGAUUUUUUGUUAAAUAAAAUUAACAAAGGCCGAGGUGGGAAGAUCACGAGCUCAGGAGAUCGAGACCAUCCUGGCUAACGCAGUGAAACCCCAUCUCUACUAAAAAUACCAAAAAAAAUUAGCUGGGCGCAGUGGCGGGCGCCUGUAGUCCCAGCUACUCGGGAGGCUGAGGCAGCAGAACUGCUUGAACCCAGGAGGCAGAGGUUGCAGUGAGCUGAGAUCAUGCCACUGCACUCUAGCCUGGGCAACAGAGCAAAACUCCAUCUAAAAAAAAUAAAAUAAAUUAAAUUAAAAAACCAUGGCUUAAUGUUAACCAAAGAAACAUGUAAUUUAAUAAAAGGAAUUCUUUCCUGUUAGAAACUAUCAUUAAGUCAUUUUUUAGCAUCAGAGAAAAUCCAUAAAGAAUGUUUAUUUCCCCAGAUUCAGCUGUACAUUUGAUUUUUUUAAAAGUCACACUUUAAAAAUAACAGCAGAUAUCUGCUUUUCCCUCUUUUGCCUGUAUUCCAUCCACAAAAAUAUAAUGGGCUGUGACUUGUUCAAAGCAUUGAACUCUUAAAACUAAAUUGCAUUCCAACAUUUUUAUUUAAGAGCUAAGAAGUUAAAUAAAACCAUAUUUUAAUCUGAAGGAGAAAAAAGUACAAGGAAUUUAUUUAAAUAAGAUCAUCAACAUAAAUCUAACCCAUUUAUAAAUUGCAAUAAACGGAUUAACUGAAAAAUCACUGGUGAAAGUUUGUUAACUGCAAUUUCUGUAGAAAGAGGGAGGAAAGUGAAGAAUGAAUAAUAUUUUGACACAAAGCAAUCAUGGAGCAAAAGGUAUUUAAUAAAAGUAGGACAAGCUUUCUGAUAGCAUUUUAUCUGAAACUAAUCAUUUAAUUUAAACAUGACAUUCAUUUAAAUGUCAAAAAUAUCUAACACUUCCUACCAAAAUUAGGACACAACAUAAAUAUCCAACAAGAGGGGAAUACAUAAAUAAGUUUUAAUACAGAAGGUCCUUAAUUAUAUUAAAAAAUUUGGGCCAGGCGCAGUGGCUCACACCUGUAAUCCCAGCACUUUGGGAAGCCGAGGCACGCAGAUCACCUGAGGUAGGGAGUUUGAGACCAGCCUGACUAACACGGAGAAACCCCAUCUCUACUAAAAAUACAAAAAUAAAUAAAUAAAAAUAAAUAAAUUAGCCGGGCAUGGUGGUGCAUGCCUGUAAUCCCAGCUACUUGGGAGGCUGGGGCAGGAGAAUCACUUGAAUCAGGGAGGUUGAGGUUGUGGUGAGCUGAGAUCAUGCCAUUGCACUCCAGCCUGAACAAGAGUGAAACUCUGUCUCAAAAAAAAAAAAAAUUGUAAGUGGAAAUUGAACAUUUAAAGUGAAUCUAUAUAAAUGGA